rnacentral:rRNA from 1 species
AGUGAACGCUGGCGGUAGGCCUAACACAUGCAAGUCGAACGGCAGCACAGUAAGAGCUUGCUCUUACGGGUGGCGAGUGGCGGACGGGUGAGGAAUACAUCGGAAUCUACUUUUUCGUGGGGGAUAACGUAGGGAAACUUACGCUAAUACCGCAUACGACCUACGGGUGAAAGCAGGGGAUCUUCGGACCUUGCGCGAUAGAAUGAGCCGAUGUCGGAUUAGCUAGUUGGCGGGGUAAAGGCCCACCAAGGCGACGAUCCGUAGCUGGUCUGAGAGGAUGAUCAGCCACACUGGAACUGAGACACGGUCCAGACUCCUACGGGAGGCAGCAGUGGGGAAUAUUGGACAAUGGGCGCAAGCCUGAUCCAGCCAUACCGCGUGGGUGAAGAAGGCCUUCGGGUUGUAAAGCCCUUUUGUUGUGAAAGAAAAGCAGCAGGUUAAUACCCCGCUGUUCUGACGGUACCCAAAGAAUAAGCACCGGCUAACUUCGUG